rnacentral:rRNA from 1 species
GACAGAGGAGGCAAGCGUUGUGCGGAAUUACUGGGAUUAAAGGGCGAGUAGGCGGUGAGAUAAGUCCGAGGUGGAAUCCUUUGGCUUAACCAGAGAACUGCCUUAGAUCCUGUUUCACUUGAGUCAGUGAGGGGAGGGCGGAAUUCCCGGUGUAGCGGUGAAAUGCGUAGAUAUCGGGAGGAAGGCCAGUGGCGAAGGCGGCCCUCUGGCGCUGAACUGACGCUGAGGCGCGAAAGCGUGGGUAGCAAACUGG